UCUACUCCCAGUGAGUGAGCAGAAAUAAGAAAGAUGAAAAAGGUUGCAAAAGCCAUAAGACCAUCUUCAGCACUUUUACUAACUACAGAGCCAUCACAACCAAAAACAGAACUGAAGUGGAAGGAACUAUGCCAUCAUUUGAUCACAUUAAAACUUUGCAGAAGGCAGGCAGACUAUGCAUCAUAAUCUUACUGUUUUUCUGGUGCUUAAAGUGAUACGCAUGCUGUAGUUCUGCAUGGGAAUAAUUUUCAUCCAGAGGUGUAAACCACUUCAUUAGAAGCAUCCAGUGGAAUGAAUUAGAGGAGCUCCUGUGCUAAGUCAUCUUUUAUCUUUUUAAUCCUGAGAGAGCAAACCUUGCCCUUUGUACAGACAGCAUGUUUGGACUUGGCUUGGGAAGAAUGAGAGUUGCAGUCUCUAGCACACAGUGCAGAUAGCAGGUGAGCAUCUGGGGCAGCAGACAGCUUGGUGAACACAGUAAUUUUGAUGAAAACAAAUGUUAAGGCACUUCUAUGCAUUGGCGUUGUUGUAAAUUAGAUUCCAAGCAUGACUGACCUGAAAACCGCUGUUCAUGUUUUUUUAAUCCUCUAGGACUUCUGCAAAGGAUUUGAUUGUUGAUCUUUAGGGGCUUCAUGGUUACAGAUAUCCUUGAUUUGUAGCUAGUGUAUCAACUACAAAAAACUGCUUUCCUUUUAAGGCAAAGCUUCUUACAGAGGUGUCUUUUCUAGGUUUAUGAAAAAUUUUGUCCGGCUUUACUGUAGAAGUGGUGUGCUCAUUUCUACAUUUGAAUUGUCUUGGGAUUUUCAAACCAGAAAUCAAAUUUCAGUUAUAGUUGUAUUGAUACACACUCCUUUUAAACAUGCUUGAGAGUUUCAUAAAAUUAUUUCAAGAUUCCCAUAAAAUUGUAAAGACAAAGCUUAUUAAUUCUAAAUUACAUUGGGUCAUUUUCUUCUCUCAGUUAUACACUCCAGAGGAUAGUGGAGCUUCACUAGUAUGAUGCAUCAAGCCAGAGGCAGUGCAGGUGUUAAUUACGUUUUUAAAAAUAAUAAUUAAAUAGUUCUUAUUUCACACAGAGACCAUGAACUCCAUGCAGUAAAUUAAUUGAAUUUAGGAAUAGGAAAAUAAGAGAAUAAAUCUGGAUUGCAAAGACACUGACAGAAAUCUGUGACUAGAGUGGUUGGAAAAUAAAUUAUACACUGCAUAUCACUGUUUCAUUUAAUCUUGAUAAGGGAGGCUGGACUAGAUUCCUCUAGGUUCCUUUUAAAAUUCUCUUCCAACUCAACCCAUUCUAUGAUGAUUAUUUAUAGGCAUGGGACAAGCCACCUGCAUCAUCAUAUCAGUUUUAUCAGUGCGUAAUUCAUCACUAUUUCUACAACUCCUUUGUAGCCUCAUCCUUGAACAGUGAAAAACAGUUCUCAGGCAGUUCUCAUGAGAGUGCACUAAUUUUUCCAGCUGUUGUGUACUGCAGAAGUAGCUCUGCCCACUGAAACCCUGUGAAUCAUGUAUUUCCUUCCAAGUAGGAAAAGAAAAAUGGCCCAUCCAUUGCCCAUGAAGACCUUUGCACUAUUUAACAGAUCCUCAAAGCAUGUGUGAUGUCUGAGGUAGAAGCAGUACAGGUGUUAUUACUGGAGAAACAGCAAACCUUGCAAGGGAAGGGCACCCUUGUAACAAGGAAUAUUUUGUAGUCCAUGCGACACUUAGUUUUAUCCUAUUGGCUGAAUGAGUCAUGAGUGUGCUGGUUUUGAGUGCAAUAAAGUUAUUUUUUUUUCACAGUAGCUGGUAUGGGACUGUGUUUCAGAUUUGCUGAAAACAGUACUGAUAAUACACAGAUGUUUUGGUUACUGCUGAGCAGUGCUUAUACAGUAGCAAGGCCUUUUCUGCACCUCACCCCAUCUCACCAGCCAUCCUAGGGAUGUCUGAACAUCUGCUUGCCAAUGGAAAGUGGUGAAUGAAUCUUUGUGUGCAUGGCUUUCGCUUUCCCUAUUAAACUGUUUUUAUCUUGCGCCACAAAUUUUCUCACUUGUAUUCCUCUGAUUCACUCCCCCAUUCUGCUGUUGGGGGAGGAAUGAGUGAGUGGCUCUGUAGCUGAAUUACCAGCUGGGGUUAGACCACAACAUGACCUUUCAGCUGCCUUUAUUUCACUACUUCUUUUUUCUUUUUUCUUUUUUUUUUUCUUAAUGAAUCUCUUUUCAAGUACUUUUUUUUUUUUUUCUUACAACAUGCUAAGUUGUAAAAUAAAUACACAAUAAAUCCCCAAUAAAGGAGAAGGUUUUUACUAUCUAAAAAUUUUUGUAAAACACAUACUGUGUAACAUUGUGAACACUCAAAUAAUCCACAUUUGGAGAUUUUCAGGAGAGAAACUUUUCAAAAGAGACAGGAUCUUAUAAUGGCAACCUGAAGUCAACUGAAGCCAGAAGCAUCACACUUUCCAAUUCUUUGUCUGCCAAGUAUGCAGCUUAUCUGAUUCACAGUAUGACUGUCCACAUUUAGUCCUAAACAGAAAUCCUCUGUAGUUCACAAAAAUUAAAAUUCUGGGCAUUUAAAAAAGGAAGCAAAGUACAAAAGGGAGAUUUCUCACAAAAGGGCUGAAUUUCUCUGGGAACUGAGCAAACAUUUCUCCAGAAGAUUUCUACUGAGAACAGAAGGGCUAUCAAGUAGCACUUCUAUGUUUCUUAUUCAGAUAAAGCCUUUGUUCAGUGUUUGCUAAAUUUUCCCUCUUAGAACAGAAGCUAGUGAAGGUUUCUAAACUGUACAUUUGUUUAUUUCUCUCUUGGUGUUACCUAUCUGCAAUAUCUUUUGCCAUUUUUUAUGUGUGUGCGUGUGAAUAUUAUCUGAAUGAACAAGUACACUCAUCAGCUGUAGUUCUGAUUGGAAAAGAUGAUAGGGAAUGUGAAUAUCAUCCCUAAUGCUAAGUUUAUAGUGUGGUUUGCUUUUUCAAUCACUUUUCUUCUUUAUAGACCUAGAGGGAAAAUGCUGUCUAUAGAAUACAUUUAGAGCAUGAGCUACAGGCACAAAAAAUUGCCUUGUUGGAAAUAUGCACUGUUUUUCACAGUUUGAAGUAGCAGUUUUACUGUCAGUAGGCACUGAUUAGAGAGCAGGCAGGAAUGUGCUUGGGGUCAUACUGAACAGUGGUGUGUGGUUUGCUGUCCUAUUAGCAAUGGUCGAGUCUUACUCAAAGUCCAUGUACUUCUGGCAUGGAUGAACUUGGACUUGUGUGCAGAUUUGGGUCUGUAUCUGAAAAACAGUGUAGACAUAUCUAAACUAGUCACGUUUAUAUAAACCCCAGCUAGCCAUGAAUAUGCAAAUCAGGCUUAAAUUGAAACAAAAAUCCUUUAUGCAAUGCAAGAUUAACUUUUUGAAUGAUAAUGACAAAUCAUUAGUUUUCUUUCACAGAUACCACUAAGAGCCCUGGGGCAUAGCUCUGCAGGAAAGAAAACCUCAUUUUUUCAGGUUCUCUCUCAUUAUCUCUAGAUAACUUCACUGAUAUACUGACAUGCAAGCAUGCAGGAUUCAGUGACAAGAGAGAGUAGAUGGGUGGUGGCAGCUAUUUUAUUUUGGGAAGUAAGGUGAUCUCAACUCACCUGGAACAUAAAUUGACCUUUAUGACAGUCUUCCAAUAAACAUAUUUUUAAAUCAGUCUCUGUUUUUCAAUUCAGCAAGCUCUGUUAAGCUAACAAAUUUACAUAUCUGCAGUGAAUCAGUGGUGGGUUAAAUUUGUGUGUAACAGAAAUCACUGAUGCAUACUAAGAGAAAAAGCCUUCUCUUUCAAAGACAUCCAAAAGUAACAUAUAUCUUAAAAUCAUACCAAAUCUGCCCUUCUCUGAGUUCUCACCAAAUCCUGUUACAGAUGUAU